UAAAUAUACUUUAAAAGAAGGGCAUGCUUAUCUGCUCUAUUGUGAAUGAUUAUGAUUUUGCAAAGUUGGCAUGCAAUUUCAGCCUUUACUAAGCAAUUUCUUUGUUAAAAUAUUAUGUUUAAGCAAGUUUUAACUAUUAGUUAUCUUCUUAAAUUUAAUAUUUUGUAGGUUAUAGAAUGAUUACUUAAAAGAUUCAUUAUGCACAUUUUCUCUAUAUCAGAACUUUAACCAUUCAAAGUCAAAUUGUAUCAACCUCAAUGUAGAAUAAAGAUAAUUUGGUUAAGGGCAUGCAAUUUAUUUACACUUUUUUUCUUCUAAAUAAACCAGAGAUCUCAAAUUCCCUGGCCCAUUUAGCCAAACAGUCUGCAGCAGCAAAGUUAGAAGGAACGCAAUGAAAAUUAUAGAAAGUUUAAAAUACUAUUAAGAAUGGGGUAUCAAACAAGUUAAGGAGCAAAUUCAUAAACAACAUAGACCAUCACAUAAAUGAUAAGUAAAUCCACAGAACGUUAUCGUGACUUAUGACAACGAUUCUACUAAUACAUCAGCUCACAAAUACUGAAUACUAAUUCCCAUUCCCAUCGGAAUUGUAGUAUUAGACCCCCUUAUUUCUUCCCACUUUUCUUGAGCCCAGAACCUCCAAAAGCUCCCUUCUGUUGUGCCUUGGCUUUGAGGUCUUUCAGAGCCU